GUGAGGAAUUUUCCGCAAUGGGCGAAAGCCUGACGGAGCAAUGCCGCGUGAAGGAUGAAGGCCUAUGGGUUGUAAACUUCUUUUCUCAGAAAAGAAUUAUGACGGUAUCUGAGGAAUAAGCAUCGGCUAACGCUGUGCCAGCAGCCGCGGUAAGACAGAGGAUGCAAGCGUUAUUCGGAAUGAUUGGGCGUAAAGCGUCUGUAGGUUGUUUAAAAAGUAUUCUGUCAAAGAUUAGGGCUUAACCCUAGAUAGGCAGAAUAAACUUUUAAGCUAGAGUUUGGUAGAGGCAGAGGGAAUUCCCGGUGGAGCGGUGAAAUGCGUAGAUAUCGGGAGGAACACCAAAGGCGAAGGCACUCUGCUGGGCCAAUACUAACACUGAGAGACGAAAGCGAGGGGAGCAAAUGGGAUUAGAUACCCCUGUAGUCC
rnacentral:rRNA from 1 species